AGAGUUAGUCCAUCUUGCUAGCAAGUUGGACAUUCGUGGAAGAGAAUGAAAUAGAUUGGACAAAGGGUUUUGAUACUGGCUGCAUGACAUCAUAGGGAUUCCAGCUGUGACUCCUCCUUCCUGGGCUGAGCUAAAAGAAGUGAGCGAGGGGAAAGGGGCGGAGCUGGAACUGGAGGACAAACUGCAAGGAAGUGGAGGUUGAUCCGCCAGGAGGGGUGAGACAACAACGGAGCUGCACACUGAGAUGAACGGAGCAGGCAAGUACUUGACUCACUUUCAGGUAACUCUGAGGUUCUGUUGGAGAUGUUAUUAUGUGGGAGGGUGGACAGGGUUCGCUUGAGGUGGUCCGUAGUAGUUCCAGGAAGAGCACCGUUGAAGUAGCCGCCAGCCAGUAGUUCCGGAGAGCAGAGGGUAGGCAAACCAGGUUUAAUUCACGUAGUUUGGAGAUCCUUCUCCAAUGUCAAAAUCCAAAAUAGCAAAGAUGCUUGGAGACAAAGUCAGGUCCAGGUA